rnacentral:lncRNA from 1 species
UUCUUCAGCUUGGCUAACUCCAGCAAUCGUUAUGUAGGGAUAUUGUACCAUCAAAUCCCCCUACAAACUGUUGUAUGGGUGGCAAAUAGAAACAGGCCUCUCAAAGACUUUUCUGGGAUUCUCACCAUAUCAGGUGAUGGCAACCUUGUUGUUUCCAAUGGAAAAGCUGAGAUUCUUUGGUCAACAAAUGUUACGAAUUUGGUUCCUAAUGCAACAACUGCACAGCUUGUAGACUCUGGAAACCUUGUCCUCAAUAACGGUGAGAAUGGAGGAAGCAGCAUCUUAUGGGAGAGUUUUCAACACCCUUCUAAUGUAUUCCUUCAAACUAUGAAGAUCAGCACUGAUGUAAAAACGGGUCGUAAGGUGCAGACGAGAUCAUGGAAAAGCCCUGAUGAUCCAUCUGACGGCAACUUUUUUCAAGGCAUUGAACCUUUCAGCAUCCCGGAGGGUGUCAUUUGGAACAAUAACCAGAUAUAUUUUCGGACCGGCCCAUGGAAUGGUCGUAUCUAUAUUGGUUUAAUAAAUGUUAAUAGAGUUUAUUUUGAUGGGUUUUAUGUGGUUGCAGAUGAUGUAGAAAAAACUUAUUACGAAACUUACGAAUAUUCUACUGACUCUAGGUUGAUAUACUUUGAAUUAGAGUCUGACGGAAGAUACGUUGAACGAAUAUGGGAUGCGGGGAAAGGGGACUGGAUAAACGGGUACUCUAGUUAUCUAACAGAUUGUGAUGUUUAUGGAAAGUGUGGGGCAUUUGGAAUCUGCGAUUCAACGAAACGACCCAUUUGCAGUUGUUUGAAAGGAUUUAAGCCUAGGAAUAUAGAGGAAUGGAGUAGAGGUAAUUGGAGUAGUGGGUGUUUUAGGACUACCCCUUUGCACUGCCAAAGAGAUAACAACAAUGGAAGUGAAGCAGGCCAAGGAGAUGAUGGGUUUUUAAAGCUGAAGAAGAUGAAAGUACCGGUAUUUCCAGACCAGUCAUCAAUAACUAACGGCGAAUGCAAAGAUCAAUGCAUGAAGAAUUGUUCGUGCGUGGCUUAUGCGUAUGAUGCUGGCAUUGGUUGCAUGUUAUGGAGUGGAGAUUUGAUUGAUGUCCAGAAAUUCUCUAAUCGGGGAGUCGAUCUUUACAUUCGUCUGCCGUCUUCGGAACUUGGUAAACUUGUCUUCGAUAUCGACCAUGUGUGUGACGAAUCGCAUCAAUUAAUCUUCACUUUUGGUUUAGAUGUUUUAUUAACCAUGUUUCUGGAUUUGCAGAUAAAAGGAAUAGUGAGAUAAUUGUUAUUACAACAGUAAUUUCAGGCAUGGUCGUGAUUAUAAUAAUUUCUGCACUCUUCUUAUUGCGUAGAAUGGGUCAACAAAGAGGUAAAAUGUCCACCUUUAUUUAUUUAAUCUUUGUAGUCACUUUUUUUAAGAAAUAUGUAAAUUCUUUAACAGUUCUGGAUUUAAAGGUAUUUUUCACUCUAUUUAAAUUCAAGUUUUAGAUAAAAUAAAAUAAAAUUGGAAUAGAAUUGAGUCUAACUCGAAUACGGAGAAAUGCUCUAAACUUGAUUGAGUACUAUUAUAAAAGUUAAAGACCGAAUUCAAGUGAAAUUAAAUUAUUUCAAUUUUGCUCAAUUAAGUUCGUUUAUAUAAGUUACAUAUUCGUAUUUGAUUUUUAUAUAUAUAUUCAAAGUUAAAUUCGCACUCAUUUCAGAUAUAUAUUUAUAUUUAAAUAACGUGGACCAUGUGUUAGAUAAAUUGGGUGAAUUAAUUUGCAAUUCUUUUGGGUCGAAGUUAAUUUCAUAAACCAAGUUUCUGGAUUUGCAGAUAAAGGGAAAAGUAGUAAGGUCGUCUUUGUUAUUACAACAGUAACUGUGGGCAAUUAUGUAGCCUUCAACUCAUUGCUUCUUUGAUUUCCGUCACAGGAAGGAAUAAAAGAUGGACACAUAUCAAAGACAAAUUUCAUGGUGAAAAUAAAGGAGAAAGUUCAAUCGGUGUUAAACUCCAGCAGCUUCCACUAUUCAAUUUCGAAGAACUUGCCACCGCGACCAACAACUUCCAUCCCCUAAAAAGCUAGGGCAGGGUGGUUUUGGUCCGGUUUACAAGGUAAUAUAUAAUAGCAAUUUCCGGUUGUUAGAAUUCAUCAUCACUGGCCCAAAGCCGGAUCGUAAUGAGCUCGUAGGCCAGGCUCGUUAGUCGAGAACUUUGCAAGAAAGCAAGGCAACUUGCGAGGUCACUACAAUCUGACCUAAACCCAUUCGGAUUUUGAGCUGAUGAUGAUAAUUAUCCUAAAACUGGUGAAUCUAGAGUCAAUGAAAUGACAAUUUUUUUUUAAUCAAGUAUUGUAGUCUGAAUUUUGAGUGCAGGGAACAUUAGAUGAUGGAAAGGAAAUAGCAGUGAAGAGAUUGUCGAAAGCGUCGGGGCAAGGUUUGGAAGAAUUUAUGAACGAAGUGGUGGUUAUUUCUAAACUCCAACAUCGAAAUCUGGUUAAAUUGUUUGGGUGUUGUGUUGAAGCAGAAGAGAAGAUGCUCGUCUACGAGUUUAUGCCCAACAAAAGUUUGGAUUCUUUUCUAUUCGGUUAGUAAUUUAUUCAAAUUUUAUAUGAUAUUUUGGGUCUCUAAUCAAAUUCAUAAUUCAGUUCACAAAAAUAAUGUUCUCCCAUAAAUGUUUUUUCCGUUCACAAAAUUUAAAUUUAGGUGUAGUGAUAUUUUGAUUCUCUUCACCGUUUAAUAUUUAUUUCAAUUUAUUGACAUAACUUCAAUUAUGUCUACAAUCAUAAUGAAUACAAUUUGGUAGAAAUACUAUGAUGGUUGUAGUUUAGAUCCUCAAUUAUAGGAAUUCAUUAUUAAUUUAGUAGGUUUUUAUGUUUAAAUUUUGUUAUAGAUCCCGUUAAAAAAAAACUUUUGGAUUGGAGAAAACGCUUUAAUAUUAUUGAAGGGAUCAGUCGAGGAUUGCUUUAUCUUCAUAGAGAUUCAAGAUUGAAAAUUAUACACAGAGACCUAAAAGCAAGUAAUGUUUUACUUGACCAAGAGCUAAACCCAAAAAUUUCAGAUUUUGGGAUAGCCAAGAUCUUCGGAGGUGACGAAAAUCAAGCCAACACUAUAAGGGUUGUUGGAACUUAGUAAGUUGGAACUUCCUUCCUACCAUUUCUUUUUAUGCUCUUUUUAAUAAAAUAUGGUAUAAAUAUAUCUAUGGUCGGAUUUGGUGCUUAAAGAUGAUACAUGUACAUACUUGUAUCGAGUUUAAUUUUGUUCAAUUUGUGGACUCAAUUUAUUGUUUUUAAUUUUACAAAUAAAAUAUUAAAAAUAUAUUUUUAUAGUUAACUUUAAAUUAUUUAUUAUUUAUUCUUAAUUCAGGUUGGCUCGUGGACAAGUUUAAAUAAGAGCUGUAAUUGGUGUUGUUUUUUAUGUUAAAAUACAGUGGUUAUAUGUCUCCUGAGUAUGUAAUGCAUGGGCGAUUUUCAGAGAAAUCUGAUGUGUUCAGCUACGGAGUUCUACUACUGAGAUUGUUAGUGGAAGAAGAAACAAAAGCUUUUACAACUAGGAUGACCUUAGCCUCUUGGGAUAUGUAAGUUUAUAAGAUAGUUAGAGAUGUUGGUGGAUGGAAUUAGGGUGUAAGAUUUUGUAUUUGUGAGCUAUUCGGGUUUGGUUUGAGAAAACUUGAAUUUGGCUUAGUAAUUAUUGAGUCAAGCAAUCAUGCGAAUUGAAUUUGAGAAUCUUAAUACUUGAAUUGAGUAGCUCACAAGUGAAUUUCAAGAACCCUAAUACUUGAAUUGCGUAGCUUGCAAUGCUUUUCAAUCUUAAUCAAUAUUGAAAAUUUUCAGUUCAAACUUGAGCUUAAUUUCAAAUAAUCAAGUUUGAAGUUAUGCAUAGGAGUGAAGCUCGUUGUAGACUUUGGUAAAACAAGCAGAGUUAAAACACUUCAAUUAACUCUAUUAAAGCUUUAAGGGUAAAAAUUUGAGUCAAGUUAAGCCAAAUGAUUUAGGCAUUAAUUUAGAUAAAAUUGUUUACUGUUUCAGGUCUGGAAAUUAUGGAACGAAGGCAACAUUUGGGACUUAGUAGACAAGGUGAUUUCAAAGUCGGAAUCAGAUUUAAAGUAUAAGAAAGAAAUAUGGAGAUGCAUGCAUGUUGGAUUGCUAUGUGUUCAAGAAUAUGCUAAAGAUAGGCCCACUAUGUCUACUAUUGCUUCAAUGCUUAACAGUGAGAUUUCAGAUCUUAACAUUCCAAAACAACUUGCUUUCACUCAAACACUAUUAAUUUGCAAUGAUUUUGAAGAUUGUGUUUCAUUUAAUGAUGUAACUCUGACGGGCUUUGAUGAUCGAUAAAGAUACAAAUUAAUUAUUUGUAGUGUUUACAAUUAAAGGUCAAGUAGUAAAAUGUAUUUUUAUAUUAUGUUUUGAUAUGUUUUUAUCAUUUUAUUUUGAUCAUAAUUUGUCAUUUUAUUUGUUCCAUUCUAUAGUGAAUUUACCUUUAUAUUUAAACACGGUAGCUUUGUCUAGAGGUGAUCAUGGGCAAGGUUGGGUUGGGUUCGGGUCGGGCCUAGAAAAGUUUUUGGCCCGCGUCCUAGGCCCGUGCCCAGUCCGGCUCGAAAUAUGGCCUAAAAUUUUGUCUAGACCUGGCCCGACAAAAAUUCCUAAGCUUGAGCUCGGCCCGGCCCGACCCUUUUUUUUUAGUAAACACCAAAACCGUAUAAAAACCCUACUAAAUAUAAUCAACCAUCCAGAAUAUCCAUACAUUAACCAAUCAACAUAUUUAAUUUUAUAACAAAAUAUAAAUUGUAAGCUAAAUUAAAUUUUCAACAAUUAGAAAUGAAGUAUCCUAAAAAGCAACCGAAGAAACAUCAUCCUCAUCAUCCUCAUCGUCCUUUUUGCAACCAAUUUAUUAUAUUCAGAAAUGUAUUUUAAAAAUAAAAAAUAAAAAAGUAUUUUAAAAAUACUUUAAAAUAAAAAUAUAUAUUAUAUAAAUACUAAAUGUCUAAAUGUCUAAUGGGAAAUGGGAAAAUGAGAAAUGUAUUUUAAAAAUAAAAAUAUAUAUUUAUUAUAUAUUUGGGCCGGGCCGGGCUGGACGUGGGCCAAAAAAGUUUUGCCUGAGGCUCAGCCCGUUUUCUAAACGGGUCUUAUUUUUUGCCCAAACCUAUAUUUCGAGCUUAUAUUUUUGCCCGAACCCUCCCAUAUUUCAGACGGGCCAUCGGGCCGGGCUGGGCCGCUCAACCCAUGAUCACCUCUAGCUUGUCCCAAACUUUAAAACUUGAUUUUAUCAAAUCCAAACUUAAACUUGACCUAACUUGAGUUGAAUAUAAAAGAUCAACAAUUUAAACCCGUGUACCUUAAACUCAAAAAUGAUCUAAAACCUAAAACCUAAAAUGAUUGAAUUUAAAGUGACCAAAUUCAAAAUUUCUUAAAUACAUAACUCGAAAUGUUAUGAACCUAAUAUGACCCAACUUACAAAUCCACUUGAACCCAAAAUAGCUUCAACCUUAAACUAAUUCAAAUUCAAAAUUAUUCAAAAAAAUUUAAAAUUCGAAUUUAGUUCAUUCAAAACCAGUCCAAAAUAGAUUCUGUUAUACUUUAUGUCACAAUUUGUGGUGAUUAUCACUUUUGUUUAUUGAAUUUUGCGGGGUAAAAAAGCUCAUGAAGUUUUUAAAAAAAAUAUUAAGUCAUUUGACAAAAAAUGCAUUCAAUUAUACUUUUAAAUUUGAAAAUUGUAUCAAUUAAGCUCUUUAAUCAAUGAAAUCCAUCCUUGAUCGUUAAUUUUGUUAAAAGUUGCUGAUAUGGUAGUUAAUAAUUGUUAAAUCAUUCAUUUUCUUUCAAGUCAGUCCAAAGUAGUAGAUAAUGUGUCAACGUAAUGACAUGGGAAUUGGAGAAUAAAUUUAAAGAUAUUAUUAAUUAAACUUAAUGAUAGUUGUCAAAGCAUUUGUUUUCUUCCAAGUCGCAAGCACGAGCGAUCGGUACAUCCAAACCUAACCAUAAAGAAAACACCAAAUUUUGAUGGGUAUCAUCCACCAAAAAUAAAAUAUUUACGCUUAAAAUUUAAAUCAAAUUUAAAUAUAGGAAGUAAGGUAAAUCCCAUAGAGAUUGAUCUAAUUGAAUCCGGAUUUUAUUAUAACUAGAAUGUGUCGUAGGCAGUUUUCAUUUCCACAACUCAUGCCAAUAUGUAUGAAACAAAAAGGGGGUUAAAUUGAAAUAUAAAAUAAAUAAUAAGAAAAUAAAUAUAGUACAAAGAUUAAACAUUUCUGUCUUUCAACAUUAGAAAGUUUUCUUAUCUUUUACAAUUAGAUCCCUAACAACUAGAUCUGUUCAUGGGUCGAGCCACCCAGCCUAGCCCGAAAAGUGGGAGGGUUUGGGCAAAAUAUAGGCCCAAAAAAUGGGUUUGGGAAAAAAUAUAAAGCCCAUUUAAAAAAUCGGGUUGGGCUUUGAGUAAAGCAUUUUUUGGCCAUGUCUGGCCCAGCCCGAAUUCACAAAAGGACAAAAAAAUCUACUAAUUUUUGUUGUUUUAAUGUUAUUUUCUUGUUAUUUUCUCCCUAUUUUGCUACCAUUUCACUAUUAUGUUACUACUAUUUUGUUGUUAUUAUUUGGAUAUUGUAUAACACUUGUUUUAUUAUUACUUUUGUUAUUAUUUUAGAGGCAUUUGCUUGUUAAGUUGCAUUUAUCUUAGUAUUAUUUAAGUAUAUAUACAUAUUUUUUUAAGUUUUAGUAUUUUGAUAUAUUAUAUAUUUAAAAAUUAUAUACAAAUAAUAUAAAAAAUUAGUACAGGUGGGUUAGACUCAAGUUUUAGUAAUUUUAUCCGAAUCAGGUCUAGAUAAAAUUUUAGACCCAUUUUUUAGGCCGAGUCCAGGCCUAGCAAACGGGCCUAUUUUUUUUGACUUGACCCAGACUCCUUCCGGCCUAGCCCAUGAGCACCUCUACUACCAACAUAUAUUUACUCAAACUUAUCCAAGCUUGAAUUAAUAUCUCUUAACACAUUUUCUCCAUUUUCACAUUAUAGAUUUAACUAACAUUAAAACAUCCUAACUCAAUUUUGAUAUAGUGGUGAGCAUUUGAUUGAAUCAAGUGAAAAAAAAUUGAGUUUAUGAGUCCUAUUUUAUCAUCCUAACUAAAUUUGAAUUUUUUUUUUUGAAUUGAGUCGAGUGAAAUGAAAUUCGAGUCAAGUCAAAUCGAAUCGAGUGAAAUUGUUCAAGUUAAAUUUUUUAAAAAAUUAAACAUUUCAAAUUAAAAUAUUAUUACAGUAUAACUAAUUCCAUAUUAGGGCACAUACAUUUGAAUUUUUUUCGAAGCAAAAAAAAAGAACUUGAGUAUGAUAAAUUUGAAUCAUUACUUAAGUCUCCAAGAUUAUUGUUUUAGAAAAUUUUUAAAAUAUUAACUCUUUUUAUAUAUUUUUUAGAAUUUUUAUAAUUUUUUAAAAAAUAUAUAAUUUUUGAAAUUUUUAUAAAUAUUUUGAAUUUUAAAAAUUAUUUUGAAUUCUAUUUAUAAUUUUUGUUGAGGGAGAGAGACUAAUUUGCUUAUUUUCAAAGUUGGCAGGAACCAAAAUGAUGUUUAUACCAAUUUGUUAUUUGAAUUAUUCGAGUUAUACGAAUUGUGAAAUUCAACUCGACUUGAACUCGAAAUCCAAAUUGAGUUAUUCGAGUUGACUCGAAUAAUUCAAAUAACUCGAAAUUAAAAAAAUUCGAUGUUUUCCAAUCGAAUCGAAUUUUGGUCACCCUUAAGAGGAUACAAAAAAUAAGUCAUAACUUGAUCCACGAAGAUGUCUAAUGUAACUAUAUUCCAAGAUUUAAAUAGUAGCAGCAAUGUACUAUUUUGGCUCUUUUCAUUGUUGAAUAUUUAUUUCAAUUAAUCGACAUAACAUCAGUUACAUCUACAAUGACUAUGGUAAGGUAGAAAACACAACAAUAAUUGUAGUUUAGAUCCACUAUUAUAGGAAUUACUGUUAAUCUUGGAGGUCUCCAUGUUUAAUGUUUAUAUAAUAUAUCCCGUUGGACCCAGCCAAGCACCCAAAAAGGAAGCAUUCCUCCCCUCGUUUGGGUUUUCUAAUACAUGUUUAAUCACAUUUAAUAGAUAUAAAUUUAAAUAGCGAUAAUCAUUAUAUUAGAUAUUAAUAAAUGAAAAAAAAGGAACAGAUAUUAACCCAUAUACACAUCGAAAACGCUCUUCCAUCAAUGCAUUGAAUUAUAUCGGUCAGUAAAAACAAAAUAAAACUAAUUUACAUGACUACUUAAAUUUUGAUUUGAAGUUAAAUUUGUAAUAUUUCAAAUAAUAGGUUUAAUACAUUAUAAUGUUGUAUUAAUUUUAUAUAUUUAUACAAAUUUAUUUAACAAAUUGAAUUUUAAUUUAAUGGUUGAUUUUGAAGUAAUUUACAUAUAACAUGAUAUUAAACAAAUACAGAUCUUAUAAAAAGAAAAACUAGGGAACUAUUUAAACUUAGAUUGAUUGUGUACUUUAGCCAGGUCUAACUGGACAGGUCUACUUGUAAGAUUGGAAUAGCCAAUGGUUGAUAAACAUUGGGAAAGACAAAAAAGUCUUUGCUCAAUAAUUAUAAUUUUACAAAUAUACAUGCGAGUUGACUCACAGAUCAUUCAUGAAUUUGAUUCCUCAAAAAUCAUUUAUAAAUCAUAGCCUCACCUCCGGGGUCUGCACUUCAAGAACUUCAUGGGUAAAACUAUUAGUAGCUGCCUUUUACCAGCUUUAAUAUCUUGUUUUUACUUGCAGCUGCAGUUUGCCACUGCUUUAGACACAAUAACACCAUCAAAAUCCAUCAAAGACCCUGAUGUUAUAAUCUCCCAGAAUGGUGUUUUCCGAUUGGGAUUCUUCAGCUUGGCUAAUUCCAGCAAUCGUUAUGUAGGGAUUCUCUACAAUCAAAUCCCCGUACAAACUGUUGUGUGGGUGGCAAAUAGAAACAGGCCUCUCGAAGACUCUUCUGGGAUUCUCACCAUAUCAGAUGAUGGCAACCUUGUUGUUUCCAAUGGAAAAGCUGAGAUUCUUUGGUCAACAAAUAUUACGAAUCCGGUUCCUAAUGCAACAAAUGCACAGCUUUUAGACUCUGGAAAUCUUGUCCUCAAUAACGGCGACAAUGGAGGAAGCAGCAGCUUAUGGGAGAGUUUUCAACACCCUUCUAAUGUAUUCCUUCAAACUAUGAAGAUGGGCGUUGAUGGAAAAACGGGUCGUAAGGUGCAUACGAGAUCAUGGAAAGGCCCUGAUGAUCCAUCUGAUGGUAACUUUUCUCAAGGCCUUGAACCUUUCAACAUCCCAGAGGGUGUCAUUUGGAACAAUAACCAGAUAUAUUUUCGGACUGGCCCGUGGAAUGGCCAUACCUAUAUUGGUUUAGUAGAUAUGAAUACCGUUUAUCUUGAUGGGUUUUAUGUGGUUGCAGAUGAUGAAGGAAAAAGUUAUGAAACUUACGAAUAUUCUAAUAAGUCUAUGUUGAUAUACUAUGAAUUAGAUUAUAAAGGAAGAUUCGUUGGACGAAACUGGGAUGCGGGGAAAGGGGACUGGAUAAGCAGUUACCAAAUUCUUCAAAAUGAUUGUGAUUUUUAUGGGAUGUGUGGGGCAUUCGGAAUCUGCUAUCCAAAGAAACAACCCAUUUGCAGUUGCUCAAAGGGAUUUAAGCCUAGGAAUGCAGAGGAAUGGAGUAAAGGUAAUUGGAGUAGUGGGUGUUUUAGGACUACCCCUUUGCAGUGCCAAAGAGAUAACAACAAUGGCAGUGGAGGAGCAGGCCAAAGUGAUGAUUGGUUUUGGAAGCUGAAGACGGUGAAAGCACCGGCUUUUCCGGACCGGUCAUCAAUAAUUAACGGCGAAUGCAAAGAUCAAUGCAUGAAGAAUUGUUCGUGUGUGGCUUAUGCGUAUGAUGCUGGCAUUGGUUGCAUGUUUUGGAGUGGAGAUUUGAUUGAUGUCCAGAAAUUCCCCACUCGCGGAGUCGAUCUUUACAUUCGUCUGUCAUCUUCGGAACUUGGUAACCUUGUCUUCAUGUUGACCAUGUUUGACAAAUUGCGUCAAUUACCCAAGUAUUAUUAACCAAGUGUCUGAAAUUGCAGAUAAAGGCAAAAGUACUAAGGUCAUUGCGAUUACAACAGUAAUUGCGGGCAUAGUCGUUAUUACAAUUUCUGCACUCUUCCUAUGGUGUGGGAUGGCUAAACAAAGAGGUAAAUUGUCGUCUCUAUUUAUUUAAUUUAUGUAGUCACUUUUUCUUUUUAUAAGAAAUAUGUAAUCACUUUAAGAGAACUCUUCGGGUACAUCUGAUAAAUUUGGAACAAUACCUAAAAUCAAUAAAUAAAAAAAUAAUGUAUUUCUACGAAUUCAUGUCUUCUUACUUGACAACAAUAUUGCCAUUGUUAUUACAACAGUAAUUGUUGGCAUAGCAGUAAUUACAAUUAUGUAGCCCUCAACCGAUUGCUUCUUUGAUUUCUAUCUCAGGAACGAAUAAAAGACACAAACAGAUCAAACACAAAUCUUAUAGUGAAAAUGUAGGAGAAAGUUCAAUCGGUGUUAAACUCCAGCAGCUUCCACUAUUCAAUUUCGAAGAACUUGCCACCGCGACCAACAACUUCCAUCCCGAAAAAAGGCUAGGGCAGGGUGGUUUUGGUCCGGUUUACAAGGUAAUAAAUAAUAGCGAUUUCCGGCGAAUUCAGAGUCAAUGCGAAAUGACUUCUUUUUUUUCAAUCAAGUAUUGUGAUCAGAAUUCUGAGUGCAGGGAACAUUAGAUGAUGGAAAAGAAAUAGCAGUGAAGAGAUUGUCAAAAGCUUCGGGGCAAGGAUUGGAAGAAUUUAUGAACGAAGUGGUGGUUAUUUCAAAGCUCCAACAUCGAAAUCUGGUUAGAUUAUUUGGGUGUUGUGUUGAAGCAGAAGAGAAGAUACUCGUCUAUGAGUUCAUGCCCAAUAAAAGUUUGGAUGCUUUUCUAUUUGGUUAGUAACUUAUUAAUUUUUUUAAUGUUUAAUAAUCAUAUUGGACUCCGAUUAAAUUUAAAAUCAAAUCAAGUCGAAUUCCUAAAAAGAUUAAACAAAAUUUAAAAUUAAAACUUUGGUUUAGAGGCAUUUCAAUUCUUACCAUUCAAUUCAUUAGUCAUGGGUAUAUUACCCUGAUUGCCUUAUCUGCCUAAUUUGAUAAGUUUGACUAGAUGUAUUCAAUCCAUGUAAGUUAAAUUUGGGAUAUAAUUUUGACUUUUAAGUGGCCCAAUCCAACUUAAAUCUAAUUAUAUAUUAUAUUUAUUGUUAAAAAUGAAGUGUCUUACAAUAUAUGAAUUGUAUAACCUAGCUAAGCUAGGUACAAUAUAUAAUAUAUAAUAUGUUAUAUAUAUAAGUAAAAGAAAAUGUUUGCAUCACCAUAAACUAUUUUUCUAACUUAUUUUGCUUUUUUGUAUUAUAAAUUUUCUAAUUUUUUAUAUUUAUUCAAAAAAGGAAAUUUCAAAAAGAAAAUAGAAUAACAUUCAAGGUUAUUAACUAAAAUUACUAUAUAUACUCAAUUUUGUGUUGUCUACAUUUUUUUUUCGGAAUUUUCACUUUUUCCUUUGAAUUCUCUUUUUUUUUGUUUUUUAUCUAUUUUAUAAGGAAGAUUAUAUAUUUUUUAAUAGGAGUGGGUCUAUACUCUAGGAUUUUAAAAGUAGUGGCAACAGUAAGUUUUGACUCUCUCUCAUUUUAAUAUUUAUUUCAAUUGAUUCACAUAACUUCAAUUAUGCUACAAUCAUAAUGAAUAUAAUAUGAUAGAAAUAAGAACGUUGGUUUUAGUUUAGAUCCUCAAUUAUAGGAAUUAAUUAUUAAUCUUGGUGGUAAAUUUUGUUAUAGAUCCUGUUAAACAAAGACUCUUGGAUUGGAGAAAACGCUUCAACAUUAUUGAAGGGAUCAGUCGAGGAUUGCUUUAUCUUCAUAGAGAUUCAAGAUUAAGGAUUAUACAUAGAGAUCUAAAAGCAAGUAAUGUUUUACUUGACCAAGAUUUAAAUCCAAAAAUUUCAGAUUUUGGGAUGGCCAGGAUCUUCGGAGGUGAUGAAAAUCAAGCCAAUACUAAAAGGGUUGUUGGAACUUAGUAAGUUGGAACUUUCUCCCUACAAUUUAUUUUUAUUCAUUUUUUGAUAAAAUAUGAUAUAAAUAUGUCUAUGGUCGGAUUCGGUGCUUAAAGAAAAUACAUGUCCAUACCCGUAUCAAGUUUAAUUUUGUUCAAUUUGUGGACUCAAGUUAUUGUUUUUAAUUUUAAAUAAUUUAUUAUUUAUUCUUAAUUCGAGUUGACUCGUGGACAAGUUUAAAUUAGAGUUGUAAUUGGUGUUAUUUUUUUAUGUUAAAAUACAGUGGUUAUAUGUCUCCUGAGUAUGCAAUGCAAGGGCAAUUUUCAGAGAAAUCAGAUGUGUUCAGCUAUGGAGUUCUACUACUAGAGAUUGUUAGUGGAAGAAGAAACACAAGCUUUUACAACAAUAAGGAUGACCUCAGCCUCUUGGGAUAUGUAAGUUCAUAAGGUAGUUAGAGAUAUUGGUGGAUGGAAUUAGGGUGUAAGAUGUUGUAUUUGCGAGUUAUUCGGGUUCGAUUUGAGAAAACUUAAAUUUGGCUCAGCAAUUAUUGAGUCGAGCAAUCAUUUGAGUUGAAUUUGAGAAUCUUAAUGCUUGAAUCGAGUAGCUCGCAAGCUAACUUCAAGAACUCUAAUACUUGAAACGAGUAGCUUGCAAGGCUUUUCAAUCUUAAUCAAUAUUGAAAAUUUUUAGUUCAAACUCGAACUUGAUUACAAAUAAUCAAGUUUAAAGUUAAGCAAAAGAGUGAAGCUCAUUGUAAACUUAGGUAAAACAAGCCUAAGAGAGUUAGAACAUUUCAAUCUUUAUCUUGAAUAGAGCUGAUCAAACUCUAUUUAAACUUAUUAAAAUUUUGAGUCAAGCUAAGCUGAAUAAUUUUGGCAUUAAUUAAGUCAAAAGUUGUUUUUUGUUUUCAGGCAUGGAAAUUAUGGAGGGAAGGCAAUAUUUGGGGCUUAGUAGACAAGGUGAUUUUAGAGUCGAAAUCAUAUUCAAAUGAUGAAAAAGAAAUAUGGAGAUGCAUACAUGUUGGAUUGCUAUGCGUUCAAGAAUAUACUAAAGAUAGGCCCACUAUAUCUACUGUUAUUUCAAUGCUUAAUAGUGAGAUUUCAGAUCUUAACACUCCAAAGCAACCUGCUUUCACUCAAGCACCACUAAUGAGCCACGAUGUUGAAGAUAGAGGUUCACUUAAUGAUGUAACUCUUACAAACCUUGAUGGUCGAUAAAAAUGUAAAUUAAUUAUUUGUAUUGUUUACAAUUAAAGUUCGAGCAUUGAAGUUUAUUAUUAUAUUUUGUUUUGAUGUGUUUUGUCAUUUUAUUUGUUCCAUUCUAAAGGAUCAUUUUACCAAUAAAGGCCCAUUUUCAACUUUAUUUUCGAAAAUGGGCUAAUUUUUUCAUUAUUUACCGGAAAGGGUCAAAAAAUGCAAAAAGCGUCCACGUAGGAGUGUUUUUGGGUGAAAUUUUCGUAAAUCACGUCCCUAGGGGAACGAUUCUGCCAUGUCAGCACAAAACGUGCUAACGUUUACACACUUUGCUAACGUGGCAAAAUUGUUCCCUAGGGACACGUUUUAGCCUAUGUUUUUCUAGGGUUAGGACAUUUUGCAUGUUUAGUCAUUAGGGUUUUUUUGGUUUAGGGAUUUUAGGGUUUAAGGUAGGUUUAGGGAAUAAAUCAAGGUUUAGUGUUUUUUUAAAAAAUUUAAUUAAAUUAGGUUUUAGGUCUCAACACUAUAUUCUAUAUCCACAAAACUAAACUCGAAUUCUUAGUUAAGGAACAUUGAACUCAGGGUGUUGCAAGGAUGCUAACAAAGGUUUCGUUCGCUUGCAGUUCCAACCUGAUUUCUCAUUGAAUAGAACAUCCCUAGUCAUAAAGACUUAAUUGGAUGAAGGAUCCAAGACCCUAUAGUCUUUCUUGAUACUGCUAUAGCCGACUGGAAUGCCAGGUUGAGCCUUCUUGGCCAACUUGUCUCUUUUUACUACUGGAACAUGUGCAUAACAUAUGCAGCCAAGGACCCUCAGGUCAUCCAGUGAUGGUUUGAACCCAAACCAGGCCUCAAAUGGAGUUUUUUGAAUCAAUGUCUUGGUUGGUAGCCUAUUUUGAAGGUAGACAUCAGUGUUAACUACCUCAGCCCAAAGUGUCUUGGGAAAAUUCCUUUCAAACAUUAGACACACCUGGCCAUAUCCAUUAGAGUUUGAUUCUUCCUCUCACUAACACCAUUUUGCAGAGGUGUGUAAGUGUUUGUGAAUUGGUGCUUGAUGCCAGCUUCAUUACAAAAGCCUUAAAACAUUGUUGAAGUGUACUUUGUGCCAUUAUCUGACCUUAAUGUCUUCAGCUUGCACCUUGAUUCUGUUUCUGUUGCAACCUUGAAUUUCCAAAACACUGAGGCUACUCCUGACUUGUGCUUUAAGAAGUAAACCAAGCAAAACCUUGAGUAAUCAUCAAUGAAAAUGAUGAAAUGCUUGCUACCAUUCAAAGACUGUGUCUUCAUAGGGCCACACACAUCUGUGUGGACUAGCUGCAGCUUUUCUAAGGCUCUCCAUGCCUUGUUCAAAUGGAAUGGCUGUCUAGUUUGUUUUCAUAGCUGACACACUCCACAAACAUCCUCAUUUUCAACUAAUUUUGUGAAGUUUUCAAUCGAGUUUCUUUUGGUCAGCUGAACCAUUGACUUGUAGUUGACAUGGCCUAGCCUCUUGUGCCACAGCUUGGAUUCAUCCAAAAUAGCUGUAUAGGCACUAUCUGAACCCUUGUUUCAGUCCACAAUAAAACUUCUGUCAGCCAUGGUCACUAACAUGAGUUUCGAUCCACAUGGAUCACUGAUCAGGCAUUCUUUGCCUUUGAACACUACUAAAUAGCCUUUUUCUAGCAACUGAGCUAUACUGAGCAAAUUUCUGUCAAUUUCAGGCAAAAAAAGACAUUUGAAAUAAGUUUGAUACCUGUGGGGGUGUCAAUCAACACAUCUUAUUUGCCUUCUAAUUUGAUGAAGUGCCUAUUGCCAACUUUCACCCUUGUUUUGAAGCUUCUAUCAAUGUUCUUAAAAAUAGGAGCAUUAGGAGUCAUGUGGUUUGUGCAACCACUAUCUAUCAGCCAUCCUUUUGUGGCUUUUCCUUUGGCAUCUGAGCAAGAGACUAUAAAGACUUGCUCUCCUGGUCACUACCUUCUUCUGCCACUUGAGCUUCAGCUCUUGGCUAUUGAGGUUGGUUUUGUCUCAACUUGCCUUUGUUUUUGCAAACUUUCUCUGCAUGGCACAUCUUUUUGCAGACUUUACACUGUACAUCAGGCUUAAACCAACAAUUUUCUCCUGGAUGACUGAGCCUUUUGCAAUGUGGGCAAGGUGGAUAUCUCCUUCUUGCUCCAUCUUUUCUUGGCUUGUCAGACUAGACCUUUCUCUCGUUGUAGCUAGAGGAGCUCAAGGCAGGUCUGCUCUUGGCUUGAAAGGUAUCUUCUUGAUGCUCCUCUUGUCUGCUAGCUCUUCUUUGCUCCCGAGCAUAAAGAACAAUGAUUAGCUCAGUCAAAGAGAUGCUUGUAAGAUCUUUUGAAGUUUCAAGGGAUGAGAUCUUGGCUUCAUAUCUCUCAGGUAAGGUUGCAAUGACAUUUUCCACUAUUAUUGCUUCACUAAACUAGUCCUCAAGCAAUGUAAUACUGUUUAUAAUAGACAUAAUUUUGUCUGAGUAUUGUUUCACUGUUUCUUCUUCAUUCAUCUUUAAAUUUUCAAAGUCCCUUAUCAAAUUCAAGAGUUGUUGCUGUCUUAUUCUUUCAGCCCCUUGAAACUCUUCUUUCAGCCUAUCCCAGGCCUGCUUUGGUGACUCACAAGCCAUGAUCCUUGUGAAAAUCACAUCAGACACACUAUUUUGGAUGCAAGACAUGGCCUUGUGUCUCUUAGUUCUUUCAUCUAUGUGUUACCUGAUCUGAGCCACUGUGGGAUUGACUCUUAGAGGUGCUGGUUCAACAUUAGAGUUAACAACCUCCCACAAGUUGAAUGCCUGCAUGUAUAUCUUCAAUUUCACUACCCAAAUGUGGCAGUCUUCACCAUUGAACACUGGUGGUGGAGCUGGAGAGAAUCCGGAUGAAGACAUGAUUUUUAGACUUGAAGAAUGACAAGUCCACUAAGAAAUAGGCUCUUGAUACCAAUUGUUGGAAAUAAGAAAACAGAAUGAAAGAUGUCACAUAAGCUUAAGCAUGAAGCAUUGAUGCCUUGCUGAACAAACAAGAAAAUUUAGCUUAAGAACUUGAGUAAAAACUAGAAAUUGAAGAAGAAUUUUUGAAAAAUUUUAUUACGUUGAAUUAAGGCAUAAUGCCAUUACAUAUACCAAGCAUUUUAGCUGGUCAAAAUAAUACAAAGUUACCUAAACAUCUACCUAACUCCACUGAGUAGCAUUGUAACUUGUUAAACAAAACUUGUACACUUGGUAAAACUGAUUUAUCAGCUCAAACAUUACCUAAUUAAAUCAAGUACAAUGACAACUUAGUUCAAAUCAAACUAAGUAAUAAAACGAAUACUUGAAGUAAGCAAAAUGAAUCAGCAGCAUGAGCUUCAACUGUAACUACUUGGCUCGGGCAGCUUCUGUUGCAUCUUGUCUGCAUGCAGGCCAGCUUCAACAGUUUUCAACACCCUUCUAAUGCCUUCAUUAAAAAUGUGGAGAUCAGUACUGAUGUUAAAAAGGGUCGAAAAGUAACCGAGUACUCCAUGAAGAAAUCCUACUUCUAAUCUUAUCGCGAAGGCUAGGAAAAGCUCGCUUUUUGUUUCUGCCUACAAUGCAAGGACGUCCCAAGUACCUUUCUAAAUUAUUUGCAUAAGGGACUCCAAGGAUAUGACCUACAUCCGAUCGAUUACUCUCAUCAACGUUCGCAUUAAAAAAUACAUUGGACUUUGUGAAAUUUACAAGUUGCCCUGAAUAAUUAGCAUAAAACUGUAAAACCUUCAUUAGAUUCGAAGCUCCUAUAGUCUUGGCCUCUCCAAAAAUGAGGCUAUCAUCUGUAAACGAAAGAUGUGUAAUCCAAGGAGCACCCUCGGUAAUCCUCGCACUGACCACCUUCAUGUUAAGAUCCGCCAUACAUAAUAAUACCGAGAGACCUGAUAAGCCAUAAAAGUAACAUAUUUUUAAUCUUACUCUUGAUGCAUUUUUGGAUGAUUUAUUAUGUAAAGUAGUGAAUUUGAUGCUCCUAAUCCUUUAAAUUCAUGUUCAUAUACUUAGGUGAGCAUAGGGGAGUGAAAGGAGUGAAAAAUAAGCUAAAAUCAGAAAAAAAGAGCUGUUUUCAGGAUCCACAUGGCUUGGGCAUUUCCAGAUGAGCUGGGCACACGCUCGUGUGAGACACAUGGGUUGGCCACACGCCUAUGUGCCUGCCCGUGUCAAUUUCGCACCCUGCUUCUCUUUUACAUGGAAAAAUCUAAUUUUUAGGCUUUCUGAACAUUAUAAAGUCUAUAAAUACCAAUUACAAGAAGACAUAAUGGGGCAAUCAGGGAAGAUCGGAGAAAACACUCGAAGAAAGCCAUUGGAAUCAACUCGGAAGCGGAUCUCCCUCAAGAUCGAAGAUCUGCAUUUAAUUUCUUUCGAAGUUUUAUUGAGUUUCUUUAUGUCUUGUGGAUAUCCUAACUUUGAGAUGUUCCUAUUUAGGAUUAUGAACUAAAUUCCCUAGAUACCUAGGGAGGAUGAAACCUAUGAUAAAUCUUAUUAUUUAAUUUUUGUUUUUACGCGAUAAAUAAUUGAUUCUUGUUCUAAAUUAUGUAUGCUUAUUUUGUGUUUUAAUAUUUUUGGGAUAUUAAUUCAUGUUUAAUGUGCUUAUUUCAGUGGAGCAAAAGCCUCUGUUUAAGAGUAGAUCUAGCAUAAUUGAGUGGAGUUGCAUGCAAUCUUAGAAAUAGGAUGACAUAAAUUUAUUGGAUUAGAGUCAAAUCUAAUAGGGGAAUCCAUAGAUCGAGUUAAUGCGACGAUAGGGGUUUUAAUUAGAAAGAUAUUUCAAUUAAUAAACUUAGAGUCAGUUGUUCUUACUCUUGAAAGAGAUAUUAACAUAAUUUAGGGAUUUAUAUGGAUCAAGACACAAGUGAAUAACUUGUUUAAUUCAGAUUCAGAAUAAUAGGUGAAGUCUAGGUGGAUUCUUUCUUGGGUAUUGUCUUUCUCAUUGGUUAUCUUCGAUUAUUUUCCUAUUUCAUUCUCUGUUGCGUUCUUCGUUAAAUUAGAUUAGUAAAUUUAGAUUAAAAACAAUCACUCCAAUUUAUCGGCUAAAUAAUAGAAAAACGAUAAUUACUAGUACUUUUAAUCCUCGUGGAUAUGAUAUUCCCUACUCACCAUAGCUAUACUAUUGUUCGAUAGGUGCGCUUGCCUUUGUCGUAAUUAUAGUUAGUUUAGUGACCAUCAAGACCUUCCCCUUGCCUGAUCCCUCGAGUUAGAAAAAGUUGUUCAUCCACCCCACCAUUCGUCACCACAGAAUAACUGAACAAGGUAACAAAUCGCAUUAUUCGAUCAACCCAAACAUUUGAAAAACUCAUUUUGAGGAGCAUUACCUUAAUAAAUCACCAUUCUACAUGAUCGUAAGCUUUGCUCAUGUCAAGCUUAAGCGCAAACGUCCCAUGCCUACCAAAACGCCUAUUUUUCAGAGUAUGCAGAAUUUCAUAAGCAACCACAAUAUUGUCAGAAAUAAAAUGCCCUGGUACAAUGGCACUCUGAGCUUCAUCUAUACAGAAAUGGAGCACUUCUUGAAACCUAUUAACCAAAGCUUUCGAGGCAAUUUUGUAUAUAACGUUACAAAGACUGAUGGGUGGAAAAUUCAUCAUAUUGCAUGGUUCUUUACUUUAGGUAUCAAUGUUUCAAAUCAUAAAAAAAUAUUUUAUUAAUAAUUUAUCAAAAAUUAAUCAAUUUAAAUAAUUUCAAUAUGAUGUAUUUUUUAUAGCAUAUAUAGGAAGUAACAUGAAAGAAAUAUUUAAUGUCUUAAAAAAAGAAAUAUUUAGUAUUACUUUGUAAGUAAAUAAUUAAAACACACUAAUAAUAAAAAAUAAAAAUCAAAGGAACUAAUAUAAUAAUGUAUAAGGAAAAAUUCUUAAUUUUAAUGAAUGUACAAAUAAAAUAUAGAGGACUAAUUAUGUAAUAUCAAAAAGUGAAAUACCUUAAAAAAUAUAAAUGUGAAGGGAUUUAUGUUGCAUAUAUAUCCUUUUCUAUUUCUUUUAAAUACAAAAAUUUAAAAGUUAGAAUUACAAAAAUACAUCGACUAUAAUGAAGAUAGAAAUUAAGGUUACAAAAUACCUUAAAUAUAACUUGGCUUCUUCUUCUUCUUGGAUUUAAAUAAUGUAAAAAAAAUGUUAGAAAAUUAUAAAUUGGUAACUCCUAUAAAUUUUAAAUAUAAAGUUUUGUAAAAUAUAAAUUAAAAUUUGGGGUUAAAAUUUUUUUUGCUUCACCACUAUUGAGUAUGAUUUAAAUUUUUCCAUUCAUAUUUCUAAAUAUACAUUUACUUCCAUCAACAUUUUUCUUUUUGGCGAGUAAUAAUAUGAGAUAACUAUAUUAAAUUGAAAUGAACAAAAGCAAAGAAGUCUUGUCUAGCGCAAGAAUGUCAAUUAACUCUCUAGGCACAUCUUCAACCACUUGCAUGCUCUCCUUCUCAUCGGAAGACAUUUUGGCUAUAAGAUAAGUGACUUGAUUGCUCUCCUUAGGCACAUGCCUUAUCGCCCAAUGAUCUCUACUCUGUAACACUUGUUGAAUUCGUUAAAGCAAAGUCGAAUUUGAAGACAUAAAGUAACUUUCUUAAAUAGCUUUAACUACCUCCAAACAACCUAUUCGAACCAAAACCUUAUCAUGCUUUUUAACAAGCUAUCUUAUUUUAAUGUUUCAAAAUGUUACAAAUACUUAGAUUAUGUAUUGGAAUAAUAAUAUGUUAAACAGAAUUAGUAUUAUUUUGGAAAGUAAUUUUCUAAUAGUUGUAUGCAGUCAAUAUUAACGAUGUUUCUAAGCUUAAUUUAAACUUAAAAUUUGGAGUAAAAGUGAAAUUUAUAACCUUUUCUCUAAUCUAAUUUAUUUUAGUUAGUAAUUUAUUUAAAUAUGAUUCAAAAUUUACAGAUGCAAUAAUUAUUGUAUGGUUUAAAUGGUGUACCAAUCAGAAGAUUAAAACGCUAUAUGAAUUUACAUAGUUAUUUAAAUAAAUACCACAUGUUUCAUUUGUUCAAGGAAAAUUUUCAAUUUUAAAAAAGAUUAAAUAAAAAAAAUCAUUUUAAGAGGAUUGGAGCUCCAGUCAAUUCUCUCGGCUCCGCCCCUAUGUCUCAAGCUCUAACAAAAUUUGGUACCAUAUAUCCUAGUGCCAAUCACUUGGCCUUAGAAAAUCAUUUGUAAGGCAACAUAUUGAAUCAAAAUAAUUAAAAGUUGGUAUAUUUUCCUACAAAUGAUCAAUAUGCAUGGUGUUACUUUCCUUUUUAGUUUGAGAUCCUUUGGUGUUUAGUUUCAAUUAAAUUUAGAAUUCUUUAUCGGGUUUCAAUUAAAUUUAGGUCUCAACACUAUAUUCUAUAUCCACAAAACUAAACUCGAAAUCUUAGUUAAGGAACAUUGAACUCAGGGUGGUGCCAGGGAUGCUAACAAAGGGUUCGUUCGCCUACUUUUCCCUCCCAAAAAUAUAUAGUGACUUCUAAAAAUAUUGAAAUUUUGAUUUAAUCCUUUAAAAUUAUAAAGAUAUAAGUUAUUAAAAUGGUGAAAUUACAUUUCACCUCUCACAAAAAUAUAUAACUUAAUUCCAAUCCCUAGAAAAAUUUUCUGACUUCCCCUGAUUAAACUUCUUAUCACUCAGUCCAACAUCUGUAGCUAAGCAAAUAUUCUUAUUUGUAAGAUCCGUAUAACAAAGGGAUAAAUAUUAAAACUACACAUAAAAUUUGAUCAAAUGUGCAAUUUGAUACAUGAACUUUGAUUUGAUGCAAUUAUACACAUCAAACUUUGAUUAUGAUUCAAAUGUGUACAUCAAACAUUUAAAGAAAUAAAUACAUUACUUUAUUUUUUGUAUUAGAUAAAUUAAAUUAUUUAUGUGUAUAAUAUAAAAUACAAAAUUAUAUUAUAUCGAUAAUUGCAUUAAUAAUUUAUAAAAUUUAAAUAAAAAAGUUUUCAUAUAUGAAAUCAUAAUUUUUAGAUUUAUCCCUAUAGCAAACAACUCCCAAGUUGUGGGACAUAUAAGCCAUGCAUGCGUCAUAUCAAACGUACAAAAAACUUCUAAAGAUUGGGAAAUACUAAGUCAAUGUGUCUGUGUGCUGAAAGAAUGUUGAAUUCAACUAUAAUUCUACAAAUAAUGCACUUGUAAGUCAAUAAUAUAAAUAAAUGAACAUGAAAUUACUUUAUCAUGUCAUACUCUAUGAUUUUCUGACAGGAACUUUAUCUUCCACCUUCUGUGCUUGGCAAAUUAAGAAAGACCAACUUAAGCUCCAAGCAAGUCUAGUGGGUCCUGAUCUGUAUAGUAUUCUAAUACUUUAAAUUAUACAUUUAAUUGAUUUUAGUAGUUAAAUUUUAUUAUUAGAUUGAUUUUAUGUGUAAGUUGCAACUCUAUUUUUUAGAUUGAUUUUUUUUUAAUCUUGAAAAUUUUUAGAUUUUAAAAUUCAAUCCUAACUCAAACGAAAGUAGUUAAAUUCAUUAAGUAAUAUAAUACCACUUUUGUGAGUAUUAUUUGUAAUUAAAAAGUUAAUAUAAUAAUAUAUUUAUUGUACAAUAUCUUAAAAAUAAUGAAUCUAACUGCUACCAUUUGAGUUACAUAUAAUUUAAAGAAUUUAAUUAUUUUAUAAAUCAAAAUAUAGUAUCGGUGCCCCUAAUCCUAUGAUAAAAAAAUUAUAUUAAAAUGAAGUCUUAGGUCCAGAAUUCAAUGUUUGGGACAUCCUAUACCCUGAUUGUAUUUGUGUGAACAUGGUGGCACAUGAGUUGAUUUUUUGGUACUCCAAUGGAAGAAAGAGCCAACAAAAAUAUAGAAAAUUAAGAGUAAUUGACGCUUCCAGAAGAUUUCCGUAAGUCAAAAUGAGAUUACCUAUGUACAAAGAAAAUUGAGAUGUAGAUCACUGGAUGUAAAUAUUUGAGGCUGUCAUGAAACAUCAUUACACCAUAUCAAAAUCAGACCCUAAGAAAGAGUCAAUUUCUGUAGAAGGUCCCUACCCUAUAUAUAUUUUGUGAAUUUAGUCCUUUCAUAUAAUUCGGUAUUUUUAAUCUCUCCUCUUUCUGGAAAUUACAAAUUCAAUUCAUAGAGAUGGAAACUAAAAUUGGUUAUACAAAUCAAAAAAUCUUUUUACGUCUAUGAGACUUUACCCAAAAUCUAAUUUAUUAUUAAUAUGCAGUGUAAGAUGUGAUUUAAGUUCAACUUUCUCACUAAAUUAUAACGUCGCUCCUAUGUGUUAAUAUAAGAUCAUUUUCCCCACUAAGACUUUCCCAUGAAAUCUUAGCUUCAAACUGAAAAAAAUUCAAUAUUCUACAAUAUUCAUAAAUCAGACAUGCUAGAAGUAUUAAUUUCCAUGAACAGGGUGACAUGCUAGUUGAAUACAAUAUUCUAAUACAAAAUAGGUAGUGAUUAGUGCUUGAAGAAAAUUCAAAUCUUGAUGUAAACAUUUGCAGCUGCCUUGAAAUAUCAUUACAUCAUAUCAAAAUCAGACUGUUUCUUUAACAGAAAAAAAAAUUGAGUUGAGUUAAAUAUCAUUCAUAAAUCAUAGCGUCUCUUCCAAGUUCUGGGAAGAGAUUAUGGGAAAAACUAUUAGCUGCUCUGUUUUACUAGCUUUAAUAUCUUGCUUUUACUUACUAUUUGCCACUGCUUCACACACUAUAACAGCAUCAAAAUCCAUCAAAGACCCUGAUGUUAUAAUCUCCCAGAAUGGUGUUUUCCGAUUGGGAUUCUUUGUUGGAGAAUAAAACGUGAGAGAGAUAAAAUAAUAUGUAAGAAAGUUACUCUCUUAUUAAUGAAUUCUGGAUGAGUAAAAACAAAGAAUAAAUGCCUAUAUUUAUAGGCUUACAUGGAAACUAACUUAACAUAAAAAUAGCUAACAAAUUAUUUGGUCAAGCUAAAAAAUCUGAAACUACCAAGAUAUUACCAAGAUUUUCUAAACAUCCCACUAAUAUGUUAUUUUGAAUUAUUCUCAACACUCCCCCUUAAUUCAAAGUUGCAGACACCAAGUAAACUUCUAAAAUAGCAAAACUUCUCUUUUGAUAAUGCUUUUGUUAACAUAUCUGCCAGCUGCUCUUCAGUGUUGCAAUAUUCCAAAGAUAUCUCAUCUUUUGCUACCAAAUCACGAAUAAAAUGAUAACGAAUAUCUAUGUGCUUUGUUCUACUAUGAAAUGUUGGAUUCUUUGUCAUGGAGAUAGUGGAUUUGUUGUCACAAACUAUGGUAUUUGCACAUUUCUGCUCUUGUUGGAGAUCGGUUAACAUUCUCCUUAGCCAAAUGGCUUGACAAGCUGUUGCAGUUGCUGCUACAUAUUCAGCCUCUGAGGUUGGCAAUGCUGUUGUAGCUUGCUUCUUAGAACUCCAAGUGAUCACCCCAGAACCUAGAGUAAAAACAAAUGCUGAUACACUUCUUCUGUCAUCUAGAGAACUUGCUCAAUCACUAUCUGUGAACCCACAUGAUCUGAAAUAUGAAGUUUUUGAGUACCAAAUGCCAUACUCCAAAGUUCCAGCAAUGUAUCGCAAGACUCGUUUUGCUGCUCCAUAAUGAACCUUUGAAGGUUGCUGCAUAAACCUGGAACAGAAAAUGCAAUAUCGGGUCUAGUGUGAGUCAAAUAGAUUAAACCUCCAACCAUGCUUCUAAACCUCCUUGCAUCUAUCAUUUCUUCUCCAUCCUCUUGCUGCAAUUUUUCAUUGAUAUUCAUGGGUGUAGCUGCAGGCUUGCAAUUAAGCCUACUAAAUUUACUGAGAAGAUCCUUGGCUUAUUUCCUUUGUGAGAUAAAAAUUCCAUCGUUAGCUUGAUGAAUUUCAAGACCGAGGAAAUAAUGCAAUAAACCCAUAUCGGACAUCUCAAAUUCAUUCAUCAUUUGAGACUUAAAUUCAUCAACAAGUAAGUUAGAGAAACUAAUAUAAAUGAUUUCAGCAACCCACAGGUCCCAGGAUCGAAACCUGGUUCUGAUACCAAAUUUGUUAGAGAAUAAAACGUGAGAGAGAUAAAAUAAUAUGUAGAAAAGUUACUCUCUUAUUAAUGAAUUCUAGAUGAGUAAAAACAAAUAAUAAAUGCCUAUAUUUACAGGCUUACAUGGAAAAUAACUUAACAUAAAAAUAGCUAACAAAUUAUUUGGUCAACCUAAAAAAUCUGAAACUACCAAGAUACUACCAAGAUUUUCUAAACAUCCCACUAAUAUGUUAUUUUGAAUUAUUCUCAACAUUCUUCAGCUUGGCUAACUCCAGCAAUCGUUAUGUAGGGAUAUUGUACCAUCAAAUCCCCCUACAAACUGUUGUAGGGUGGCAAAUAGAAACAGGCCUCUCAAAGACUUUUCUGGGAUUCUCACCAUAUCAGAUGAUGGCAACCUUGUUGUUUCCAAUGGAAAAGCUGAGAUUCUUUGGUCAACAAAUGUAACGAAUUUGGUUCCUAAUGCAACAACUGCACAGCUUUUAGACUCCGGAAACCUUGUCCUUAAUAACGGUGAGAAUGGAGGAAGCAGCAUCUUAUGGGAGAGUUUUCAACAUCCUUCUAAUGUAUUCCUUCAAACUAUGAAGAUCAGCACUGAUGUAAAAACGGGUCGUAAGGUGCAGACGAGAUCAGGGAAAAGCCCUGAUGACCCAUCUGAUGGCAACUUUGUUCAAGGCAUUGAAC